GACGAACGCUGGCGGCGUGCCUAAUACAUGCAAGUUGAGCGCUGAAGGUUGGUACUUGUACCAACUGGAUGAGCAGCGCACGGGUGAGUAACGCGUGGGGAAUCUGCCUUUGAGCGGGGGACAACAUUUGGAAACGAAUGCUAAUACCGCAUAAAAACUUUAAACACAAGUUUUAAGUUUGAAAGAUGCAAUUGCAUCACUCAAAGAUGAUCCCGCGUUGUAUUAGCUAGUUGGUGAGGUAAAGGCUCACCAAGGCGAUGAUACAUAGCCGACCUGAGAGGGUGAUCGGCCACAUUGGGACUGAGACACGGCCCAAACUCCUACGGGAGGCAGCAGUAGGGAAUCUUCGGCAAUGGACGAAAGUCUGACCGAGCAACGCCGCGUGAGUGAAGAAGGUUUUCGGAUCGUAAAACUCUGUUGGUAGAGAAGAACGUUGGUGAGAGUGGAAAGCUCAUCAAGUGACGGUAACUACCCAGAAGGGGACGGCUAACUACGUG
rnacentral:rRNA from 1 species